rfam:Schistosoma mansoni, Puerto Rico, WGS project CABG01000000 data, contig: 0137
AUCCAGCUGACGAGUCCCAAAUAGGACGAAAUGAAGCGCGUCCUGGAU